rnacentral:lncRNA from 1 species
UUUCGGAUUUUUUGGGAUAUUUUUUGAUUUAAAAAAAAUUUAUUUUAAUUUUUUUAUUAUUUAUUUAUUUUUGGAUUUUUUGGGAUAUUUUUUGAUUUUUAAAAAUUUUUUUAUUUUAAUUUUUUAUUUUUUAAAUUUUUUUUUUGAGAUUUUUUGGGGAUUUAAAAAUUUUUUUUUUUAUUUUUUUUAAAUUUUUAAAAUUUUUUGGAAUGUUUUAAUGCAUGUUUGGGUUUUCUCUGCUAGCCCCUCACACCCCGCGAGGUGCAGGGCCUGCUGGGGGUGAACCUGCCCGAGCUGGCGCGGUGGCAGUUCCAGACUCCCGUGCGCGACUGGAUCGUGCUGCAGCAACAGGCGGAGCUGGACAAGCUCCACGUGGGGCUCACGGGGGGCGUGCAGGAGGGCUACAUCAACCUGGCCAGCCCCAAAUUCCCAGCACCGUCCUCAGCCCCUCUGGGGACCGUGGCCAUGGUGUUCCACCUCCUGCCUGCCCUGCUCCUCAGCUUCCUCAUGGUUUCCAUCCUGUCUUGAGCAUCUCCAUCCAUGAGGAGCCAAGGGGGACCAGCUGUGACCUGCUGAGACCUGGCCUGAGGAGUGCCCACAGCCUGGGACCAGCCCAGGACUCACUUUUAGGUACUUUUGGCUUUCAAGUCAUUGGAAAAAAAACCCAGUUGUGUCUGAAGGGAAGAUUCCAGACUCUGUGGUGUAGGAUCUUUGCCUUUGGGACAGCCCAAGCCCAGCUCAGCCCCAAACCACUGCUAAAUCACGUCUUACUGCUGGGUUUAAGGGUGAGUUCUGCAGGUUAAAAAUGACAUUUCUCAGCACCUGACCUCAUGACACUGCCAAGACCUCAGGGUGGGAGUGAAGUUUUCCAGCUGCUUGUAAAUAAAUCCUGGAACUGAGUAAAAAUGCCAGAAGCAAACUGAUGAGUGUCUGCUCUUCCUUGAGGCUGCCCUCGCCUUCCUGUCUGCAGGAAUCCCCCCAAAUUAAGGCUCAGAAUCCCAGGAUCUGCCUGUUCCUUGGGGUUGGCUGGUCAACAUUUAGGAUGGAAGAAAGGAAUUUUGUACAAGUAUUUCCAUAUUUUUUCCCCAUUCAUUGGAAAUAUCUGUCAAAAAAACCACAAACCCUCAGUGAAACCUGUAUCCAGCUCCUGACAUCCUCCUUUCCUCAAGGAGGAGAGUCUGGGAAGGAAAAAGGGAUUUAUAUAUUUAAUAUCUUAUAAACCUUCACUGUCUGAGCUUUCUAGAGAGGGAGCAGGUCUGUCCUUCUCUGCAGAUUUUGGAUUUAUGCAGGAAAAGCUUCCCCAGAAAGCACUGAACAUCUCAAAGGACACGUUGGAUUAGGAAAAAAGAGCUGAUUGAUGUUUUAUUGUACAGCACUGAACAGUAAUCAAGAUAAAUUAUCUCCAGCUAAUCAUCCCAUGAGAGUCUGUGUGUGUGGUUUGAACAAACCUUGAUCAAAAAGCAGCUUGUGAGAAAAGUUAAACAGGAUUUUUGGGGCUCUCUCAGCUGUGGUGUGGGGCCACCAGUGACUGAAAUCCCUGAGUUUUUCCCAGUGUUUAGCACAUCCCAGUGGGAUGGGAUGGACAGGAAAUCCCUGGAAGAGCUGGGCCCGGUGUUCUUGCCUUGGCAGAGCACUCAGCAUCACUGCUGGUGGUACUACAGGGAGUAAAUCUCUAGUAAGGACCUGUCAGGCUUCUCCAGGCUGGAAAAAUCUGUUCCUCCUUCACUGCCCAGCCUCAAAAAGAACCAAAUCCUGUGGUGGCAUCAAAUGUGGACGAGUUCUCUUGCCUUGCCUGGGGUUCUGCUGUCCAGCAGGGACUUGCCUGGCGCAGUUCCGCUGGGAUGGAGGGAGGGCUGAGCAGGGUGGGGGAUGUUGGGGGGCUCAGGGCAGCCCCCCCAGCAGGAC